rnacentral:sRNA from 2 species
GGUCCGUUCGUAUCAAUCGUCUGGCAGGGGCGGGGGAACCAAUAAUCGGAUCUUGCACCAUGUGCAAAGUCCUUGGGGUGAAGCCGCGAAGCGUUUAUACUCUCCAAGAGGAAACUCUUGCAGUGUGCCAACGUGGAGCGGCCGGGUGACUCCCAUCCGAAUCCGACAGCUUACCUCGCAGGCAUUGGGAGAGGAAAC